UUUCUCUGUUCUUUGAUCAGCAAGAACUGUGUGAGUCCUACAUCCUGAUAUGAAUUAGACGGUUACAAUGGUGCAUUGAAAAUGAAAGGAUCUGUGAUAUCCAUGAGUGUCCCAUCCCCCCAACACGUGGUUGAAACAAAGCAGCUUUCUAAAUCUGUGAAACAGCCCAGUACUCCCUAGAUAAAAAAUUGAUAGACUCUGAAGAUGAGAUGAUUAAACAACAUAUUAUGUCCAAUUUACUGCUGAAGCACCAGAUACAGAAACAUAAAGUAGAAGAAUUUUUUCUUACCGUCAGUGAAGUUGGUGCUAGUUGUCUGCAAGCUCCUUUUGUUUCUUGUUUGAUGUCAAGGAAUGCAGAUUCAUAGCUGGACUGUCAAAUCGUCACUCGCACUUGAGAUUGAAAAUCAUAUUGAAAAUAAAUCACCCAUCCAUCCCACGAUGCUACAACCCAACCUGCUGCAGCCAGCGACGAAAGAAAAACCGAAACUGUCGUUGGACAGGGUACGAGUUCAAUUUUUCUGUCGGCUGUCAAUGCUGGCUUAUCAAUCAGCGGCUGGAAAACGUCAGCUUCAAUGGUCAACAUGUUCUUAUUAUCUAGUCCAAGACGGGCGAUUCACCAACCUCAACAUCAACCAUUAAUGCAGGGAUUUUGAAACCGAAAGGCACAUAAUAUCAUGUGCAGAUCCUGCAAGGUGACUCUCUUACAUCUAGCUGCCAUUCAAAACCUCUUACGGCUUAGAUGCUGGAUAUUGUCAAUCGACCAGAGGGCAACAACAAACCUGAACAUUAAUUACCUUCGUUGUUCGGACCUUAAUGUUUGGCGCUACUCCGUCAUCUUCCUGUUAUUCCACGGUGGAGGUUGCUACCACCAUCGUCACUUCGAUUUUUAUGGAUAUUGUUACGGCUUCUCCGCUUCUGCUGUCGUUGUUUCGACACUCGCUGUAAUUACAACUGCUGGCACUGACAAGCAGAUCGCUUGAGUUAUUGAACCUCCUGGCGCGUCGUUGUCCUGCACAAUUAUCAACAGAGGAAUGCCGGUUAACAGUAACAAUGCAGCUGUUGACUUUCCUGAGCUUGGAGAAUAAAAAGGGACGUGCAAUGAAGGCCGCUCGAUGAGCUAAGGCUCUUGACUGGAAUGGUGGAGUACCAGUGGUGGUGAAGCUGGACAGGAAAACUAGAUUGCUUUGAAAGAUUUUUUUCCAAUGUCAGUUUAAUAAGCUAAAUUUCUAGAAAAUGUUGUGUGCUAUAGAAGUAAGUGAAGUAGAAAGGACAAAGGAAAUUCUUCAUGGGAUAAGGGAAAGUUCAUUGACAGAAUAGUAAAAAAAAGCAUAAUGAAAGAAUUAUUUGGUGAAGAUAAACUUAUGAGUUUGUGAAAAAAUUAAGAGUUUAAAUUUAUUGGGGAUAGAUCAUGUGCACAUGAUACUUUGCAGCUAAAUUCAAUUUGGUAAUGUAAUAUUUACUUUUUGCGCGAGUUUUGACUCUUACCUUAAAUUGAAUAAUUGAUGAAACUUAACAAAUCUGGGAGGGUGUGAUUGUUAACAUCUCAUUUUUAUUGGUAAUUGGUAUGGAUGGAGGGAAAGUAAAAGGCAAAGUGUAAAUACGAGAGAAGUUAUUCAAUGUUAUCAGGAUAUCUAUCACCCAUAUUUAACAACUAAUAUUGUAAAAUUAAUAAACUAUUACAAAAUGAUA
rnacentral:lncRNA from 1 species